rnacentral:tRNA from 2 species
GGAGAGGUGACCGAGCGGCUGAAGGUACCGCUUUGCUAAAGCGGCGUGGGAUGCAAAUCUCACCGCGGGUUCGAAUCCCGCCCUCUCCG